rnacentral:rRNA from 1 species
UACCAGCACCCCGAGUGGUCGGGACGAUUAUUGGGCCUAAAGCAUCCGUAGCCGGUCCUACAAGUCUUCCGUUAAAUCCACCUGCUUAACAGAUGGGCUGCGGAAGAUACUAUAGGGCUAGGAGGCGGGAGAGGCAAGCGGUAACUCAGUGGGUAGGGGUAAAAUCCUCUGAUCCAUUGAAGACCACCAGUGGCGAAGGCGGCUUGCCAGAACGCGCUCGACGGUGAGGGAUGAAAGCUGGGGGAGCAAACCGGG